CUUCCCUUUCCCCGCUGCCUGCCGUCCACGCCGCACGCCGCCUCCUCUCCACUCUCCAGCCACGAUGUCGCCCAGCGCCUCCUCCCCCAACCACCCUACGGCAUCGGCCCGCCGCCUGCUCUUCCCAUCACGGCGUCGCCCCGCCGCAUCCUCUCCCCAGCACGGCCUCGCCUCGCCGCAAACCCCGCCAGUUUUCCCUAGAUCAACUCUGCCGCCGCCGUGUCCCAGAUCAAGGUGCGAGCUGCUGGAUGCGAUGAGGGAGCGGGCAUCUUGGAGAGGACCGACAUCCACUGCGUGUACGCGAGCACCUCAGGCUCAGGCUGCGCCAGAUGGAGCGGAUUCGCGCCGUCAUAAGGGCCAUGGAGCUCGGGACACCGCGCUCCCCCCUGCUCUGAGGCCAUCAAGCAUCACCAACACAACUCGAUGCAGGGGGAUGCUUCUUCUUCUCGGGACGCCGUGUCGCCAUGGAAGGUACAUGCACGUAUCCAACAGAAAACCCUAGCCACGGUGCAUCCCACGAGCUGUUGUUGGCCGUACCUCGGAGCGGAGACAUCACCAUCCCCAACACGUUUGUCUGGCAGCAUGCCUUCGCCGCGUUGUCAUUCAUGACAUUUCUCUUUCUCUAUGUUGGCAUGGAUGCAUUGGAUAUAGAGAAGUGGAAUAUUGUUAGUGAAACAUAUAUCCCAAUGAUAUCUAUCGCCUUGAGCUCCAUUGUUUUGGCGUUGGUGCUGGUUGCAAGAGCUGCAUUUGUUUUACCACUGUCUUUUCUCCAGUUUGACCAAUAAAACUCCAGGCGAGAAGAUCUCUAUUAGGCAGCAAGGGCGGGGCUGGAAGUAUCUCGAUGACGACCUAUGUCGUCGAGACGGUUCGGCCACCAGGGUGAGAACGAUGUGGACACCGGAGAUAGAGCAGCACGCCGUGAUGGCCCGAGGUGUUCUUGAGACGGCGGCCAGGACGAGGACGACAUGGACACUGAAUCUAGGGAAAGUCGCUAGGGUGGGCCAAGGUUUCCUCAAGAUGGCACGGCCACGGGGUGAGGACGGCGCGGACACCAGGGGCCAGGACGGUCGCUAGGGCGGGCUGGGGUUUCCUCAAGACGGCACGGCCACCGGGGCGAGGACGGCGGGGCGAGGGCAUGUCGUGGCCUGGUGGCGGCGUUGAUCACGGACGUAUUGUUUAAUUCCUCCUGGAGGUAGCAUCGUGGGGUUGUCUAGCAUCAUGUGCGGGGGCAGUCUGCCGGCAGAACAUUUGUUCUGAACCGUAGAUCUGAUCUGCAGAUGUUUGAUGUAACUUGGGCGCUUGGAUUUUAUUAAGUGGGUUUGAUCGGACGUUGGUGGUUAUCCCGUGUGUACUUUAUGGGGUGGC